rnacentral:rRNA from 1 species
UACCUGCAGCUCAAGUGGUGGCCGUUAUUAUUGGGCCUAAAACGUCCGUAGCCGGUUUAUUAAAUGCCUGGGUAAAUCGGGCCGCUUAACGGUUCGAAUUCCGGGUAGACUGAUAAACUUGGGACCGGGAGAAGCUAGAGGUACUCCUGGGGUAGAGGUGAAAUUCUGUAAUCCUAGGGGGACCACCAGUGGCGAAGGCGUCUAACUAGAACGGGUCUGACGGUGAGGGACGAAGCCCUGGGGCGCAAACCGGAUUAGAUACCCGGGUAGUCCAGGGUGUAAACGCUGCUUGCUUGAUGUUAGUCGGGCUCCGAGCCCGAUUAGUGUCGGAGAGAAGUUGUUAAGCAAGCUGCCUGGGAAGUACGGCCGCAAGACUGAAACUUAAAGGAAUUGGCGGGGGAGCACAGCAACGGGUGGAGCGUGCGGUUUAAUUGGAUUCAACGCCGGAAAGCUCACCGGAGGCGACGGUUAUAUGAAGGCCAAGCUGAUGACUUUGCCUGAUUUUCCGAGAGGUGGUGCAUGGCCGCCGUCAGUUCGUACCGUAAGGCGUUCUGUUAAGUCAGACAACGAACGAGACCCUCAUCUUUAAUUGCUACUGGUAAGUCCGCUUAUCAGGCACAUUAAAGAAACCGCUGGCGAUAAGUCAGAGGAAGGCGAGGGCAACGGUAGGUCAGUAUGCCCUGAAUCCUCCGGGCUCCACGCGCGCUACAAAGGCUAGGACAAUGGGCUUCGACACCAAAAGGUGAAGGUAACCUCGAAACCUAGUCAUAGUUCGGAUCGAGGGUUGUAACUCACCCUCGUGAAGCUGGAAUCCGUAGUAAUCGCGGAUCAACAUCCCGCGGUGAAUAUGCCCCUGCUCCU